rnacentral:lncRNA from 1 species
UUUUAAGUUUUCUAGUAGCCACAUAAUAUUACAUAUUUGGUCCACAUUAUAUUUCUAUUAAAUAUUACAUAUGUGGUCCACAUUAUAUUUCUCCCUUAUUUGGGAGAACAGUGAAGGAGUUUAUGUAGGACAGAGACAUGAUCCAAUUUUCAUUUCAGAGAGAACGUUCUGGUAGGAAAGAGGAUAGAUUGGUGCGAUCUAAGGCUAGAGAAAGGAACGCUAGUUGGGAAAUGAUUGUAAUAGUUUAGGCAUAAGAUAAUGAGGGCCUGCCUUAAAACAGGAGCUUUAGGAAUGGGAUAAUUAGAGAAAGAUAAGGACAAUUAGAGCAUGCAUCAGAUUCCCUGGAGGGCUUAAGAUGCAGAUUCCCUGGCCUCACCCCCAGAGAGUCUGAUUUAGGAGAAAUCGGGUGGGGUCCUAAACAUUUUCAUUACUAACUAGUUUCCAGACACUGCCGCUGCUGGUGGUAGUUUGGAUACCUCACCCUGAAAACCUUUCCUUAUAAUACUUGGUGACAAAUCGGAUAUAUCAAGAGAGGGAGAAGUCUAUGAAGACUUCCAGGUUCCUGCUCUGACUAUCUGAGUAGACAGGGACUAAAAAGAGGAGAAGCUUAUUUGGGAAAGAGUAGGAUAGGUUUAGUUUGGGAUAUAUUGAGUUUGAGGUCCCUUUGGAACUCCUAGGAGGCGAUCUCUCAAGAGUAAUUGUAUAUCUAUGGAUCUGGAACUCAGGAAACAGAUCACACUAUAAUUAAAGAUUUGAAAGUCAUCAGAAUUUAGUUGGCCCUAAGCAUGAGAGAGAUUGCCCAGAGAAUCAGUGCAGUAUGAGAAGGAAACAAACCCCAGGACAGAUUCCUGUAGUGAAGCUCUGUUUUGAUCAAAAUCAUUAGUGUUCAAGAAAAAGAAGAUAGGCAUGAAUUUCCACUUGUCGUUUUUACCCAUCUGCCUCUUGUGUUUGAUCACAGUGACCAAGGUUUAGGUAACAGUUUCAUAGGGCUUCAAGAUCCUUCAGAAGAUUUGAAUCAAUGGUUAGCUGUUUCAUCAAUGAUACAGAAGAAGUUCAACAAAGCCUUUAUUUCUAAAUUUGAUUAUGAAUAAAAUAGGCUUGACCAAAUAGCAGAAACCCCAGAGCUUCAAUUUCUUCAUCUAUAAAAUUGGAACACUGAUACCUUUCUCACAGACUUGCUGGAAAAUGGUGAUAAUGUAUGUGGAGCAUGGUGCCUGAUCUACCCAGAAUAGCAUCUCAAUAAAGGUGGGCUGAACAGAAUCGAAGCCACAAAUUCCACCAACGAGGGCCCAAGACGUAUAAAAGAACAAAGGAAACCAUUAAAAAUGCCAAAAAUAAAAUCAGAGGCCCAUGAGAGUCUCUGUAGCUAUUUUAUUAAGGAGUUGAAGGAGAUUAUUU